AUUGAACGCUGGCGGCAGGCCUAACACAUGCAAGUCGAACGAGUGGCGGACGGGUGAGUAAUGUCUGGGAAACUGCCCGAUGGAGGGGGAUAACUACUGGAAACGGUAGCUAAUACCGCAUACCAUCGGAUGUGCCCAGAUGGGUUUAGCUUGUAGGUGAGGUAACGGCUCACAUAGGCGACGAUCCCUAGCUGGUCUGAGAGGAUGACCAGCAACACUGGAACUGAGCAAGGGUCCAGAUCCCUACGGGAGGCACAAGUGGGGAAUAUUGGACAAUGGGCGCAAGCCUGAUGCAGCCAUGCCGCGUGGAUGAAGAAGGUCUUGGGGUGGUAAAGUACGUUCAGCGGGGAGGCGUUACCCGCAGAAGAAGCACCGGCUAACUCCGUGCCAGCAGCCGCGGUAAUUC
rnacentral:rRNA from 1 species